UACGAAGGGUGCAAACGUUGCUCGGAAUUAUUGGGCGUAAAGCGCACGUAGGCGGCUUAGCAAGUCGGAUGUGAAAUCCCUCGGCUCAACCAAGGAAGUGCAUCCGAAACUGCUGAGCUUGAGUACUUAAGAGGAUCGCGGAAUUCCCGGUGUAGAGGUGAAAUUCGUAGAUAUCGGGAGGAACACCAGUGGCGAAGGCGGCUUCCUGGCCUGUUCUUGACGCUGAGGCGCG
rnacentral:rRNA from 1 species